UUCCAAGUGUUUUUUUUUUUUUUUAAUUAUCUUCUUGUUUUUUUUUCUUGCUAGUAUGGGAAGGAAAUCGCAGAUUUACGAGAUUUGUUUUCUCAAUUAUUGUUUUUUUUGUUGUUAUUAGUGAAUAUUGGUGGAUCGCAGUGGGAGAGAAUUGAUGGGUUCUUGGGUUGAGGUUUGAGUGGAAUAAUGGUAUUGAUUUUGAAGAAGAUUCCCAUCGUUUUCCUAUAGCACCACCUUGGCUGCCUUUCGGUUUGAUGCGUCAGACCCUUAACACCAAAGAAAUUUUAGAAUCGAAU
rnacentral:misc_RNA from 1 species